ensembl:lncRNA LINC01340 long intergenic non-protein coding RNA 1340
AUUCUCAAGCUGCUGCAGAACUCGACUGCCAUUGAAAUGUGCAAAAGAAAAAUUUCCUGGCAUCUUAAAAAAAAUGUCGAAGUCAGUUACUCCACAAAGUCUGGAGUUGCUUCUGUUGGCCAUCAAUUUCCUGUGGUGCAGAGGGGCUACAAAUAUAAUACAGAUUAAACUCCCUGCAGGAAGUCUCUUAUGGAUAAGAACAAGUUCAGCUUCCCAUUGGGGAUGACAGAGCUGGUGCUCAGGUCAUCAACAUCCUGCUGAACCUAUGAGAAAGCAUUUGGGACAACUUGACAAUGCAUGGUGAGUCAGAAAGUUUGCUUUUUGAUUCAACUAUUUAAAAUUCCCUAUUAUUUUCUUUGUUUUUGGCUGCCUUUUGCUUAAUUGUCUUGUCAGCUGUCCUAAGCCUGACAGCCAUAUGAGGUCAAGCAGAAAAACUGAACUGGGGAAAUAAUCAUAGUUCUUCAAUGGAUUGUUUCUGAAAACUGAAUAUGAGGAGAGAAUAUUCAUAGGUAUGGCAUAACUUCCAUUUUGUAGCUGGAAGAAAUCAUACCCCCAAAUUAUGACAAUUUAUAGAAUUAUGAGUUGAAUGUUUGUGUAAGUAUAUGCCUUCAUAUUUUUAAACAUGUAUAGGCUGCAUUAUUUUCUGCCAAUAAAUUUUAUGGCUUUUAUAUCAAGUAAAGAUAUGUUGCUAAUAUGAUCCCUGCAGUUGAUAGAUAAUAUAACUUUUUGUGGGCUAGACUAACCAUGUGGCUUCCCAGUUGGGCUGUAAAGGAAUCAACAGCUAGUUUAGAGUUACUGGGGGCAGCAUUUGGAAGAUUUAACUUGUCCAGUUUGGGCCACUUAUUAAUAUUACAUAUUGCUUAUCUAUCUUUUGCAAUUCUUUGGGGUCCCUUCCGUAGACGUGGUGCUCAAGGAAGCUUUGAUGGAAGGCUUUCUGUAGACAAUUCACUUGGUUCUGACAGGCCAAGAAAGCCUGUCUGGAGCCAAGAUAAACCCAAGGCUCAUUUCUGCAUUUAUUUAUUAAUACAGCAAAUAUGGUUAUUUUUUGGAGAUUGUCAGAAAAUCAGUUCUACAUACUAGAUGUGAACUUGCACUCUGAUACUAGUUCUGUGUUCAUUUGUAUUUUCUUUUAUUUCUUGGUAAAAGCUCAGAAAACAACUGGAUAGAAAUGUGAUCUUUUGGCAUCUUUGAAUUCACUCUUACUGAGAUAUCAGUUUUCCCGUCAAAGGAAAAAUUAAGAAAAUGAAAA